rnacentral:rRNA from 1 species
GUGCAAAGGUAACAUAAUCAAUUGCCUUUUAAUUGAAGGCUAGUAUGAACGGAUAGACAAGAAUAGUCCUGUCUCACUCAGAAAUUGUAAACUGUCAUAGAGGUGCAAAGACCUCUAUAACCAUAAAAGACAAGAAGACCCUAUAGCGCUUUAUCUAUAAACAGCUUAACUAAUUUAUAGAAUUAGUUGGGAAAACUUAAAAUCAACAUAACCAUUUUAACUAAAUUACACCUCCUCUAAUGAAACCGAAAUCAGCCACCUUAGGGAUAACAGGCUAAUUCUGCUAAAGAGACCACAUUGACAGCAGAGAUUGGCACCUCGAUGUUGGCUUAGCGUAACUUAUGGGCGCAGCCGCCCAAACAGUUGGUUUGUUCAACCAUUAAACCGCUACGUGAUC